rnacentral:rRNA from 1 species
CCCAGACUCCUACGGGAGGCAGCAGUGGGGGAUAUUGCACAAUGGGGGAAACCCUGAUGCAGCGACGCCGCGUGAGUGAAGAAGUAUUUCGGUAUGUAAAGCUCUCUCAGCAAGGAAGAAAAUGACAGUACCUGACCAAGAAGCCCCGGCUAACUACGUGCCAGCAGCCGCGGUAAUACGUAGGGGGCAAGCGUUAUCCGGAUUCACUGGGUGUAAAGGGAGCGUAGACGGCGACGCAAGUCUGGAGUGAAAGCCCGGGGCCCAACCCCGGGACUGCUCUGGAAACUGCGUGGCUGGAGUGCAGGAGGGGCAGGCGGAAUUCCUGGUGUAGCGGUGAAAUGCGUAGAUAUCAGGAGGAACACCGGUGGCGAAGGCGGCCUGCUGGACUGCAACUGACGUUGAGGCCCGAAAGCGUGGGGAGCAAACAGGAUUAGAUACCCGUGUAU